rnacentral:rRNA from 1 species
UACGUAGGGUGCAAGCGUUGUCCGGAAUUACUGGGCGUAAAGCGUGCGUAGGUGGUUCGUUAAGUCCGUUGUGAAAGCCCCCGAGCUCAACUUGGGAAUUGCAGUGGAUACUGGCGAGCUGGAGUGCGGUAGAGGAAGGUGGAAUUCCCGGUGUAGCGGUGAAAUGCGUAGAGAUCGGGAGGAACACCAGUGGCGAAGGCGGCCUUCUGGACCAGCACUGACACUCAAGCACGAAAGCGUGGGGAGCAAACAGG